UACGGAGGGAGCUAGCGUUGUUCGGAUAUACUGGGCGUAAAGCGCACGUAGGCGGCGCAGCAAGUCAGGGGUGAAAUCCCGGAGCUCAACUCCGGAACUGCCUUUGAAACUGCAGUGCUAGAAUUCUGGAGAGGCGAGUGGAAUUCCGAGUGUAGAGGUGAAAUUCGUAGAUAUUCGGAAGAACACCAGUGGCGAAGGCGGCUCACUGGCCCGGUACUGACGCUGAGGUGCGAAAGCGUGGGGAGCAAACAGG
rnacentral:rRNA from 1 species